GACGAACGCUGGCGGCGUGCUUAACACAUGCAAGUCGAACGAUGAAGAAGAGAAACGCGAACUUCGGUUCAAAUUUCACUUCGGAUUAGUGGCAGACGGGUGAGUAACGCGUGAGCAACCUACCUCUUACAAAGGGAUAGCCUCGGGAAACCGUGAUUAAUACCAUAUGACACAUUCAUAAGGCAUCUUAAGAAUGUUAAAGCUACGGCGGUAAGAGAUGGGCUCGCGUCCCAUUAGCUAGCUGGUGAGGUAACGGCCCACCAAGGCGACGAUGGGUAACCGGGCUGAGAGAGUGACCGGUCACAUUGGAACUGAGACACGGUCCAAACUCCUACGGGAGGCAGCAGUGGGGAAUAUUGCACAAUGGAGGGAACUCUGAUGCAGCGACGCCGCGUGAGCGAUGAAGGAAUUCGUUUCGUAAAGCUCUGUUCUAUGGGAAGAAAAGGACUGUACCAUAGGAGAAAGCCCCGGCUAAAUACGUG
rnacentral:rRNA from 1 species